GACGGAGGUCGCAAGCGUUGUUCGGAAUUACUGGGCGUAAAGCGCGGGCAGGCGGUCUGUUAAGUCGUUUGUGAAAAUCCGGGGCUCAACCCCGGAAAUGCAUACGAUACUGGCAGGCUGGAGACUGGUAGAGGCUAGCGGAAUUCCUGGUGUAGCGGUGGAAUGCGUAGAUAUCAGGAAGAACACCUGUGGCGAAGGCGGCUAGCUGGGCCAGUUCUGACGCUCAUCCGCGAAAGCGUGGGGAGCAAACAGG
rnacentral:rRNA from 1 species